CCAAAUUUAGAAAAGAAAAAAAAAGGAUAAGGACCCCAACAAAACACGCGCUAUCUAAGGAAUGAGGGCCUAAUGGGAAAUUAUUCCCAAUCCACAAAAUGCGCAGUUUCAUGGGAAUUGAAAUAUAAUAAAAACAAAAUUAUGCGGGCUAAUUUCAGAUAUAUAAAAUAAGAAAAAGGGUGAGAUUAACUAAUAUAAAAAAGGCGGAGGGGUUGAAGAGGAAAAUAACCCCUUUUGGUCCAAAACACGCCGACCUUGUCCGCCCGUGGGUCGAGUUCGAGUUGCGCCUGGGCGCAUAUAACCCCAAUUUUUUUUUUAAAUUCAUUUCAGCCCAAAAAAAAAACAACAGAGAGCUUUUGCUCUCUUUUUCCCCUUUUGUCUCCGACGGUUGGGGUUCCCCAUUGCCCGCCGAACCGCCAUCGUACCCGGUGGCCGAUGAAGCGCGAAGACGGGCUUUUUAGCCCCGUUUCAAAAGGAAAUCGAAGGUCUAGCCUUCUUGAGCCAAAAAAAACGAAAGAAGAGAUCCUCGCUCCUUUUCGAUCCUGACGACGGAGGAAAGACCUCUGACGUCGUAACCGCGGGCGAUCCCAGUGAGAUCCCCCUCUCCUCUCCUUUCUUUUAAUUGUUUUACCCACUUUUAUUUAUUAGGUUUGUAGUAAAAAAUAAAAAAAAAUAAAAGAAGAAACUAAAAAAUGAAAUGAAAACAAAGAAAAGAAAAUCAGAGAUCAACUUCAAACCUUGGUUUUGUUCUUUUGAUUCCAAAAAUGUGUCUGUUACAUUUUUUGUGUUUGUGGCUAUAUAGCCGAAUACAAAGUGCUUUAGUCUAAUCUCUGUUGCUGUUUUGCUUCGUUUCUGUUUCCUGUCCUUUUUUGCCUUUUUGUUCUAUUUCUGCUUCUUUUUUUUUUUCUUGCAGGUAAGGUCAACGAGGCUGUAGAUGGCCAUUUUGGUGCAACGGGGCCGAAUCUCGGGCGUGUGCGUGCCGAGGGCGCACAUGGAGGCGCGGCGCCUUGGGCGUAGUAGGGUUCCUGUGUUGUUUUAUUUUUGGGCUAUUUUUCUAGGCUAGGUUUUUUUUUAGUUUGGGCCUGUAUUUUAUUUCUUUUGUUUUUGAUUUUGGUAUCUGAUGGGUCCGGGCAGUUUUGGCCCAUUACAACUUAUCCUUGAACAUCUAGGCCACGUUUGGUUCAGUGUAAUGGAAUAGGGUUGUAAUGGAAUAGAACUGUAAUGGAAUAGAGUUGUAAUAGAAUAAAACUGUAAUAGCAAUUCAAUUGUUUGGUUGAAUGGAAUGGAAUAGAACUGUAAUAAUAUUCUUGUGUUUGGUUGAAUGGAAUAAAAUUGUAAUAGCAUAAGAAAAGAAGCUGAAAUGACCAGAGUACCAUUAGAAGAAAUUUUGUUAAAAGGAU
rnacentral:lncRNA from 1 species